rnacentral:rRNA from 1 species
GGGUUGGUAAAUUUCGUGCCAGCCACCGCGGUCAUACGAUUAACCCAAACCAAUAGACACCCGGCGUAAAGCGUGAUUAGAAUCUAANNAACAAAAANNNNNUAAAAUCAAAUAACAACUAAACUGUAAAAAGUAAUAGUUGAAAACAAAAAUAAACGACGAAAGUGAUUUUAUAGCUUUCGAACUCACGAUAGCUAAGAUCCAAACUGGGAUUAGAUACCCCACUAUGCUUAGCCCUAAACCUAGAUAAUUUUAUNAACAAAAUUAUCCGCCAGAGAACUACAAGCCAGAGCUUAAAACUCAAAGGACUUGGCGGUGCUUUAUACCCGCCUAGAGGAGCCUGUUCUAUAAUCGAUAAACCCCGAUAAACCUUACCACUCUUUGCCAACNUCAGCCUAUAUACCGCCAUCUUCAGCAAACCCUAAAAAGGAGCAAAAGUAAGCUCAAUCAUCACNCAUAAAAACGUUAGGUCAAGGUGUAGCCUAUAGAGUGGAAAGCAAUGGGCUACAUUUNUCUACNNNNUUUAGAACACNNACGAAAGCCCCUAUGAAACCCUAGGGACCAAAGGAGGAUUUA